rnacentral:snRNA from 1 species
AGCUGAUUGGCGGGAUCC